CACGUAGGCACCAAGCGUUGUCCGGAUUUAUUGGGCGUAAAGAGCUCGUAGGCGGUUCAGUAAGUCGGGUGUGAAACUUUGGGCUUAACCCAAAGCGUGCAUCCGAUACUGCUGUGACUUGAGUUCGGUAGGGGAGUGGGGAAUUCCUAGUGUAGCGGUGAAAUGCGCAGAUAUUAGGAGGAACACCGGGUGGCGAAGGCGCCACUCUGGGCCGAAACUGACGCUGAGGAGCGAAAGCAUGGGUAGCAACAGGGAUUAAGAA
rnacentral:rRNA from 1 species